rnacentral:rRNA from 1 species
CGAGUGGCGGACGGGUGAGGAAUACAUCGGAAUCUACUUUUUCGUGGGGGAUAACGUAGGGAAACUUACGCUAAUACCGCAUACGACCUACGGGUGAAAGCAGGGGAUCUUCGGACCUUGCGCGAUUGAAUGAGCCGAUGUCGGAUUAGCUAGUUGGCGGGGUAAAGGCCCACCAAGGCGACGAUCCGUAGCUGGUCUGAGAGGAUGAUCAGCCACACUGGAACUGAGACACGGUCCAGACUCCUACGGGAGGCAGCAGCC